CUCACAGGGAGUGGAGUGUGUAGGGGAUGUGUUAUUGUAGAGGAUCUAAUAUGUGUGCUUAUGGUAUGUAGUGUAUAUGGAUACCAGUUUGUGCAGGUGAUGCAGUGUGUUUGUGUGUAGUGGAAGCAGUGUGUAUUAGUGUAUAAGGGAUGUAUUGUGUGUUUCUGGUUGUGUGUAAGGGAUGCAUUGUGUGAAUCUGUGUUUGUAUGCAUAAGGGAUGCAAGGUG